rnacentral:rRNA from 1 species
AUAGAUACCCGGGUAGUCCACGCCGUAAACGAUGAGUGCUAGGUGUUAGGGGGUUUCCGCCCCUUAGUGCUGCAGCUAACGCAUUAAGCACUCCGCCUGGGGAGUACGGUCGCAAGACUGAAACUCAAAGGAAUUGACGGGGGCCCGCACAAGCGGUGGAGCAUGUGGUUUAAUUCGAAGCAACGCGAAGAACCUUACCAGGUCUUGACAUCCCGCUGACCGCCAUGGAGACAUGGCUUUCCCUCCGGGGACAGCGGUGACAGGUGGUGCAUGGUUGUCGUCAGCUCGUGUCGUGAGAUGUUGGGUUAAGUCCCGCAACGAGCGCAACCCUUGUCCUUAGUUGCCAUCAUUCAGUUGGGCACUCUAAGGAGACUGCCGUACAAAUACGGAGGAAGGUGGGGAUGACGUCAAAUCAUCAUGCCCCUUAUGACCUGGGCUACACACGUGCUACAAUGGGUGGUACAAAGGGCGGCAAACCCGCGAGGGGGAGCGAAUCCCAAAAAGCCACUCUCAGUUCGGAUUGCAGG